CCUACGGGAGGCAGCAGUAAGGAAUCUUGCGCAAUGGGCGAAAGCCUGACGCAGCGACGCCGCGUGGGCGAUGAAGGCCUUCGGGUUGUAAAGCCCUUUUCUGGGGGACGAGGAAGGACGGUACCCCAGGAAUAAGUCACGGCUAACUACGUGCCAGCAGCCGCGGUAAUACGUAGGGUGCGAGCGUUAAUCGGAAUUACUGGGCGUAAAGCGUGCGCAGGCGGCUUUGUAAGACGGAUGUGAAAUCCCUGGGCUAAACCUAGGAACGGCGUUCGUGACUGCAAAGCUAGAGGGCGGCAGAGGGGGGUGGAAUUCCUGGUGUAGCAGUGAAAUGCGUAGAGAUCAGGAGGAACACCGAUGGCGAAGGCAGCCCCCUGGGUUGGCACUGACGCUCAGGCACGAAAGCGUGGGGAGCAAACAGGAUAAGAUCCCCCGGUAGU
rnacentral:rRNA from 1 species